rnacentral:rRNA from 1 species
AACGAACGCUGGCGGCAUGCCUAACACAUGCAAGUCGAACGGGAUCCGGACUUCGGUCCGGUGAGAGUGGCGGACGGGUGAGUAACACGUGGGAACCUGCCUUUUGGUUCGGGAUAACCGCGGGAAACUGCGGCUAAUACCGGAUGCUCCCGAGAGGGAAAAGAUUUAUCGCCAGAAGAGGGGCCCGCGUCCGAUUAGGUAGUUGGUGGGGUAAUGGCCUACCAAGCCGACGAUCAGUAGCUGGUCUGAGAGGAUGAUCAGCCACACUGGGACUGAGAUACGGCCCAGACUCCUACGGGAGGCAGCAGUGGGGAAUAUUGGACAAUGGGGGGCAACCCUGAUCCAGCAAUGCCGCGUGAGUGAUGAAGGCCUUAGGGUUGUAAAGCUCUUUUGUCAGGGACGAUGAUGACGGUACCUGACGAAUAAGCUCCGGCUAACUUCGUGCCAGCAGCCGCGGUAAU